rnacentral:lncRNA from 1 species
AAAAAGAAAAAAAAAAAUAACCCAAUGUUGAUCUUCAGAGCAGCAGCACUCCCAAUGACAUUGAUGGCAACCGCAGAGAGUCUGCGUUCUGCAGAAGCCUUCAGCUGCACCCUGUGGGAAUUUCACCAGCCUUGGAAAUUUUCAUGAAACAAGGGGAGUGGGAUGUAGCUUGUCACAGGCUCUUGUUAGACACACUGCUUGCCUCGAGAAGCAACCGAAGGACUGAGAAAAACAAUUCCAAGGGACUUUUGUUUGCCUUACUGAAUUGAUUGCAUGAAGCCUGGCACAAGUAAGCAUUUGCUGUUGGUUGUUUUGCCAAGUUUAACAUCCUCUUCGUAGAUAUGCCAUGUUUCCAGUGCAUUUCUGAGGGGAUUCCUUCCUGCUAAUCCUUUUAAUAAUAUUUAUGCUGGGGAAGCAGUGUCUUUUCCACACAUAGAUCCAAAUUCACUGCCUGUUUAAAUCCACAGAAGUCAAUGCAAUUAAGUUACCAGCAAAGAAUGUGGGCUCUCCAUCCUUCACGAGGCUGAAUGAAAGUUGCCUAUAAGUAGGAGAGCAUAUGAGAAACAGGUCAGGAAAGCUCACCAAAGACAGAAUCAACUGGACAGACUUGCCCAUUUUUUUUGUCAUUGUUAGCAACAUGCUGCAUUAUGUUGUCUUUCUACAUCUCCGUUUGUCCUUCAGACAACCACCCCUUUCUAAAUAGUGCUUGCAUCCCAGUUGUGCCUCCUAGCACAGAGGCACAGGGACAUGAGCAAAUAAAAGUAGGUCACUCAGCUGUCAGAAGCGUGAGAAAAUAUCUCUGCCAGCAUAGAAAAUGGAGCGUGUUUGCAUUCGGGUUUUAUACUGGAUUUUAUUUUUGCAUACAAAGCAAUGAAUUAAAAAGUAAUUGACAAGUAAUGUGACCAACCAACUUCUUGAGCUUCAUUCAGUGUUUUAGAGAGCUUUCUUAACUCUGAGUGAGGAACAGAGCAAAGACAUGUUUUCCCUAGGUCUUCAGAGAAGCAGUUCCUUUGGAAAGUACCAAUCUAGGAAUGGUUCCCAGGAGAGCACUUCGGAAGUCUUGCUUGCACUGACAUCAUGGAAGUUGUCUGGGGACGCAACAAUCAGAGGCUUCUCCAUACCAUUUCAUACCACUAAGCUCCCGGACACAGAUGUGACUGGAACCAGAGCUCCCACUGAGAGACUGGAUGAAGGUAUUCACAGUAUAGGUGUUGACCCUUUUAGGCAUUUCCUCUGGGUUUGGCCCCAUAUUUUUAUCCUCAGGCCCCACCAAAUGCCCAACCAAAGCACAAGCAUCAAUCCUGGAAGAUGCAAACACUCACAGAGUGCAGUCAUGGUGAACUAA